rnacentral:ncRNA from 1 species
AUACGAAGAACGAAGCUAAUUUGCAGAAAACCUACUAAUAGGUUUUCUGCAAAUACUCGACGGUAAUUUGCCGCUUUACUACUAUCAUCUCUCGAUCUUUCUGAACUUGAUCAUCACCUUGGAUCGUACCUUACUACUUGGAUAAGUGUGGCAAUUCUAGAGCUAAUACAUGCAGCAGAGCUCCGAUCCUCUGGGGAGGAGCGCUUUUAUUAGACCAAAAGCAAUCGGAACUCGUGUCCGUAUUAUGUGGUGACUUUGUAUAACCUUGGGCUGAUCGCAUGGGCUCGUCCCGGCGACGUACCUUUCAAGUGUAUGCCUUGUCAAACGUCGAUGGUAAGUUACAUGUCUACCACCCGUUACGGGUGACGGGGAAUAAGGUUCGAUUCCGGAGAGGAAGUCUGAGAAAGGGCUACCAUUUCCAAGGAAGGCAGCAGGCGUGCAAAUUACCCACUCCCAGAACGGGGAGGUAACGACGAAAAAUGACAGUACACGACUCUUUUGAGAUCCCGUAACUGGAAUGAAUACUCUCUAAAUCCUUUAACGAGGAUCAUUCCGAGGCCAAGUCUGGUGCCAGCAGCCGCGGUUAUUUCUGUCCUUGUU